rnacentral:misc_RNA from 1 species
AACAAGGCGUACCUGCGGACCUGCGGAAGGAUCAUUACAGAGUUGCAAAACUCCCUAAACCAUUGUGAACCUACCUUCUACCGUUGCUUCGGCGGGCGGGCCUAGCGCCCCCCCGGCCCCCCGCGGGCGCCCGCCGGAGGAUAACCAAACUCUUGACAUCAGUGGCCUCUCUGAGUAUUCUUUACUGAAUAAGUCAAAACUUUCAACAAUGGAUCU